CGAGACUCUCCAUCGUUUGCGCUCACCAGUAGCGGCCAAACCUCGCCGGCGGCGAGCAGGUCGAGCCGUCAGACCUCCUUCUCCCUCUCCUCCCUUUCCUGCUAUCCUCCUUCUCCUCUUCCCUAACAUGUCUGCCUCUCUCCUGAUGCAGAGCCGCCAUGGCUGCCUAGGAAAAAUCUCAGCCACUGGAUGCUCCAUAUCCAUCCCCGCAUCAGAUAUAGGAGAUGGAUUUCUGAUCCUGUCUUUGGGGAAAAGAAAAUUCAGAAUUGGGCAACAAGUGCUCUGGAAACAACAAUUUUUCUGUUUGGAUCAACUGUUGUCUUCUCGUCUUACACAUGAGAAUGAGUGAGAGGAAGCGGAAUGUUCGCUCGAACAUGGUCUCAAAGCAAUUGCAGGAGGUCUGUACAAGUUAUCCGUGUAUAAGUCCAAGUGAUAGUGAUAGUCCAAGUGAUUUCCUCCGCAGAUUGAGAUGAACGAGGCAUGGAAGAUCAGACCGACCGUGGACCACACCCUGCUCCCCAAGGGCAAGGCUCAAGCCAAGUGAGUGCUCUCUCCGUCUCCAUGCCCUUCCACAAGUUUCUGAAUGUGUUUGCUUGGCUUGGGUGGUGAUAGUGUGGAGCCAGCGUACAUUUUUCUGUGGAAAUGUGGUUUUCUUUGUGUGUUUAGACCGUCUGGUGUUAGCUUAUGUAUUGGUAGCUUUUGCACAUGGUUGUAUGUAUGGACAGCUUAAUUUUGUCCGUAUAUGAAAUUUCUUAGAAGCUCGAUAGCAAUGUCAGUCUCUGUCUGCUUGCUUGGUUGGUUGCUACCAAUUGGUGUGUUGUGCAUUCUACUAUAUUCAGUUUACGAUGAUAUGUGAUUAUUUCAGAUGUUUCUACAAGUUUAUGAAUGUGUUUGUGUGGUGAUGAUGGGGAGUUGGUGUUCAUUUAUCUUUUCAGAAUUGAUCGAGUAAA